rnacentral:rRNA from 1 species
UACGUAGGGGGCAAGCGUUGUCCGGAAUCAUUGGGCGUAAAGCGCGUGUAGGCGGCUCGAUAAGUCUGCUGUGAAAGUCCAGGGCUCGACCCUGGGAUGCCGGUGGAUACUGUCGAGCUCGAGUCCGGAAGAGGAGUGUGGAAUUCCUGGUGUAGCGGUGAAAUGCGCAGAUAAUCAGGAGGAACACCAAUGGCGAAGGCAGCUCGCUGGGACGGUACUGACGCUGAGACGCGAAAGCGUGGGGAGCAAACAGG